UAUACAUUUAACAAUCAUAUUCUAACAUUUAUAAUGUUAGAAUAUGAUAUGUUUUAUAUUUUAAUGGUGAAAAAAUCAAAGUUUUACAUGAUAUUUUUAUUAGAAAAUUUUAUAAGGAUUUUUUGAAAAAAUAAUGACAAAAUUGAUAGUUUUUCGUAACUUCAAAUGUUAUAACUUUUCCAAUUCUUGUCAAAAUGUAUACAAUUAGGUAUAAAAACAAAUAUAUGAAAGAGACAAGGCACCUACAACACCCAGUAAUAUGUUACGAAUGUAUAUUUGUUAAUGAAAGUUUUGUGUUUUUUAUUGAAAUUCUGGAUUUUUAUUUUCAAUUUUUUAUAUCAUUAAAUAUGAUAGAUAAACAAGUAGAAAAGAAUAUAGUAUUACAUAAUACUCUCCUCAUAUGUAAUGCUCUCCUUAAACGUAAAUCAAAUUGUUUAAACUGGAUAUGAUGAUUAAAUGUUGUAUCGGCAUGGUUUUAUCUGACUACUUUGCUUUUUCAAUUUGGUUGCCAGCUUCAACCUAAUUCUUGAUUUAGAACUAUGAUUUUGAACUAAAACAUUUCCGUGUUGAAUAAAAUACUAUUUAUUCUUAACUGUAUUUUUUUUAAGGCUUCAGUUAUCAAAUGUUGGUGGUAAUUUUAGUUAUGCCACUAUGAAAGCGUUGAUUGUUGAGUAGAUAUAAAAAGUUUGAAGUAUGCACAAAGCCUGAAAGUGUCAAAUAUGGAACCUAAAAAAACCUGCCUUUGCCACUGACUGUAUAAAGGUUUUUUAAGGUCUGUUUGUUAAGCGUCAAGUCAGGUUAUCUUGCUACUGAUACCAUGUAGUACAUCCUGCCUAAGCAGGUUAUACGCCAUCCAUACGACGUUUGGGCAUCUGUUUGUAAAAUAUUGCUGCAAAUCUUUUUGAGAGAGCCAUUACUAUGGAGAACCAUCUAAACCAUACAAGUGUGAAAACAUGGAUGUAAAUCUUAAACACAUUUGUGAUAUAUAAUUGUAGAAUGUUAUAUGUUUGGAAAUUAUAUUCUGGAUGUAAGAUUGGAAAUUAUAUUCUGCUAAAAAAACUUUUUAAAUGUAUUUUAGCAGAACAUACCUGGCUCGCAUUUGAUCCUGAAAAACUUUCUUUUUGGACCAAAUGCUGGCUGGGUAAUUUGGACUUGUAAAUGAACUUAUAUUCAUAAUUUUUAAACUGCUUAUGAUCUGAUCUGAUUUUAUUUUUGUCAUUUGUUUAUUUAGAUUAAUGUAAAAUAAACUGAUGAGUUUAUUUAACUUAGCUGGUAAAAAAAAGAGUUUUCGUGAAACAAAUUUAAUGAAGACAAUUAUAGAAUGAAGUUCAUUCAUUUGCUAGCAACAUGUUUAAACGUGGUCCAGAUCAAAAAAAUUUGGUGCUAGAAAUUGUCGAUAGUGGAAGUGAUAGAUGCAUCGAACCUAAUUUGUAAUUAAUUUCUGUAAAUAAAUUUCACUUUACUAA